rnacentral:rRNA from 1 species
UACAGAGGUCUCAAGCGUUGUUCGGAUUCAUUGGGCGUAAAGGGUGCGUAGGUGGCCAACUAAGUCAGACGUGAAAUCCCUCGGCUUAACCGGGGAACUGCGUCUGAUACUGGAUGGCUUGAGUUUGGGAGAGGGAUGCGGAAUUCCAGGUGUAGCGGUGAAAUGCGUAGAUAUCUGGAGGAACACCGGUGGCGAAGGCGGCAUCCUGGACCAACACUGACACUGAGGAGCGAAAGCCAGGGGAGCAAACGGG